rnacentral:rRNA from 1 species
GAUUAACGCUGGCGGCGUGCAUAACACAUGCAAGUCGAACGAAGUGGCGGACGGGUGAGUAACGCGUGAGUAACCUGCCUUAGAGCAGGGGAUAGCCUUUGGAAACGCAGAAUAAUACCCUAUGCUCUAAGAUGGCCUUGCGUCUGAUUAGUUAGUUGGUGGGGUAACGGCCCACCAGGACAGCGAUCAGUAGCCGGCUUGAGAGAGUGUACGGCCACAUUGGGACUGAGACACGGGCCAGACUGUACGGGAGGGAGCAGUGGGGAAUUUGGCACAAUGGGGGAAACCCUGAUGCAGCGACGCCGCGUGAUUUAGAAGGCCGUCGGGUUGUAAAAAUCUUUUCUAUGGGAAGCAGUACCAUAGGAAUAAGGACCGGCUAAUUACGUGCCAGCAGCCGCGGUAAUUC